rnacentral:lncRNA from 10 species
GGAGCCUGCCGGGAGAGUGGUGGCAUCUGAGAGGCUGGUCGUGGACUGUGGUUGGGGGAGGUGGGAGCUGUUUUAACCGUGUGCCCCCUCUCCUGUGCCGGCGUGGGCAUCCCCCGGGGCAGUGGAACGCGGGCGCUCCUCCAGCUUCCGAGUCCAGCCAGCCUGGGCGCGGGGCGCCGCCCCCGAGACACCCGAGGAGUCCGUUCCUCCCUGGUUACGUGGACUGUGGAGCUGGUCUCUUGUGGCUCAGCGCCGUGCGGAGGUUGAAGCGUACCUGCGGAGGUCGCACCAGGGCGUGAGGAGGAGGAGGAAGGGCAUGAGCCGAGCUUGAGGAAUCCGUGCUCCAAACUCUACACUCAAGGUGGGAAUGGGCGCACCCUGUGCUCCAGCCAGGCUUGAGAAGGCGGCUGUUAGCCUCUGCCACUCGGGGGGACAAGAGGGACGAGACUUUCCAGACCCUACUCUGGUGGGCCCUGCUUGCUCACUGCUCACUGUGUGGGGCAGGGGACAACAAGGUUUUCACAGACCAAAUGUGGCAGCUGUGGGAAGGAGAAUGGGGUUGGUCAGGACUGACUUCUUGGAGGAGUGGAUCCUAAAAUAGCACGUAGAAUGAGGGAGGAGCCCAGGCUUGGGGCACAAGUGAGAUGUGUGGCUUGUGUGAACGAUUGCGGGGGACACAAGAGGGAGAAGUCGUGGAAGAAAGGGAGCCGGACCAGAGCCGGGAGUCUCUAGAUGGGAAGAAAACUGCUGGAUGGAGUAAAACUGGAGGGCAAAACGAGCAAGAGAGCCCUUCUCCUUCUUGAUCCAAGCAUGUAGGAGAAACUAAUCCAGCAACCCCUGGAAGAACCUGGAAUUCCUGGGUUGGGCUCAAUUGAGCAGUUGUUUUGUAGAAGGUACUAGGAAUUACCAUUAUAGUGAUGAAUGGAAUAUAGUCUCUGCCCUAUAAGCAGAAUAUAGGAAUUGUUUGCCUAGUGGUAGAGACAAAAACAAAACGUGAUGGUGCUUGAUAGUACAGGUAGACGCGAGCUGAUCGCCAGCUGAGAGGCAGAGCUGGCCUGAUCUCUGUGCGGUCCACAGACCGUUGCCCUGUAUCCUGUGCUGAGCAACAGUUUAAAAGGGGCAGACACAAACUGAAAUAUACUUUUUAUAUUCACCAUCUGUCAACCAGAUGAGUGAAAUAUACUUAGAGGAGAGCUGCUAGGAUUCCAUGCAGAUAAGAUGUGAUGUGGAACAGACAUGUUUUUGAGGACUGGGGACCUUCAGCCUGUAGAAGGGGUGAGGGGGUGGUGGAAUAGCUGCCCCUAAAUAAAAA